rnacentral:tRNA from 1 species
GCCCACCUGGCGCAAUGGUUAGCGCAUCUGACUUCUAAUCAGAAGGCUCUGAGUUCGAGUCUCAGGGUGGGUG